GGCCCCUCGCAAAGUCUCGCCCCAUUCGCGAGUCCGGCGGACGAACUUCGCCCGCGCUCCCCACCAAGGCUAUAGCCCACCCGUUUUUUGGCCAUUUUUCCGCUGGGGGGUUUUGGCACCACGACCUUCGGGCGCUUAUUUUUGGACGCGGCUGUGCCCGCGACUUCCAGCGGGCACCCCGAGGCCCCUCGCAAAGUCUCGCCCCAUUCCGAGUCCGGCGGACGAACUUCACCCGCCCCCCCCACCAAGGCUAUAGCCCACCCGUUUUUUGGCCAUUUUUCCGCUGGGGGGUUUUGGCACCACGACCUUCGGGCGCUUAUUUUUGGGCGCGGCUUUGCCCGCGGCUUAUUUUUGGCGCCCCGAGGCCCCGCGCAAAGUCUCGCCCCAUUCCGAGUCCGGCGGACGAACUUCGCCCGCGCCCCCCACCAAGGCUAUAGCCCACCCGUUUUUUGGCCAUUUUUCCGCUGGGGGGUUUUGGCACCACGACCUUCGGGCGCUUAUUUUUGGACGCGCCUGUGCCCGCGACUUCCCGCGGGCACCUCGAGGCCCCUCACAAAGUCUCGCCCCAUUCCAAGUCCGGCGGACGAACUUCGCCCGCGCCCCCCACCAAGGCUAUAGCCCACCCGUUUUUUGGCCAUUUUUCCGCUGGGGGGUUUUGGCACCACGACCUUCGGGCGCUUAUUUUUGGACGCGGCUGUGCCCGCGACUUCCCGCGGGCACCUCGAGGCCCCUCGCAAAGUCUCGCCCCAUUCCGAGUCCGGCGGACGAACUUCGCCCGCGCCCCCCACCAAGGCU
rnacentral:lncRNA from 1 species